rfam:Tenericutes bacterium GWD2_38_27 gwd2_scaffold_1082, whole genome shotgun sequence.
GGGGAUGUUCUGGAUUCGUCACGGCAUGGAGUAAAGUAUAAGCAUGUCUUGGUCGCUCAAGUAAAAAGGCCGAGGUUAUAAUAACCGGAAAUCAAUCUUUUAGUUUCGCUGCCUAAGAAAAGGUGCGAGCCAAAUUUGAAUGUACUUACCGUUCUAAUGCGGCCCAAUUUUAGUAAGUUAUAUUUAUUGCGAUUCCUAUACCAAUAAAAGAACCCCAUAGGAUAGUGCUUUGGACUUUUGUUCAUUUAGUAUCGAGCACGAGAUCAUAAAUGGAAUAAACAUGUAGAAAGUGCUUUAUGAAGUGUUUUGCACAGGGGUUCAAAUCCCCUCAUCUCCACCA